rnacentral:rRNA from 1 species
UUGACCUCAAAUCAGGUAGGACUACCCGCUGAACUUAAGCAUAUCAAUAAGCGGAGGAAAAGAAACUAACAAGGAUUCCCUCAGUAACUGCGAGUGAAGUGGGAAAAGCUCAAAUUUGAAAUCUGGCAGUCUUACAAGCUGCCCGAAUUGUAAUCUAAAGAAGUGUUAUCUGUGCUGGACCAUGUAAAAGUCUUCUGGAAUGGAGCAUCAUAGAGGGUGAGAAUCCCGUCUUUGACAUGGACUACCAGUAUGUUAUGGUACACUCUCAAAGAGUCGAGUUGUUUGGGAAUGCAGCUCAAAAUGGGUGGUAAAUGCCAUCUAAAGCUAAAUAUUGGCGAGAGACCGAUAGCGAACAAGUACCGUGAGGGAAAGAUGAAAAGAACUUUGGAAAGAGAGUUAAACAGUACGUGAAAUUGCUGAAAGGGAAACGCUUGAAGUCAGUCAUGUCAGCUAGAAAUCAAGCUUGCUUCUGCAAGGUGCACUUUCUAGUUUGAUAGGUCAGCAUCAAUUUUGACUGUCGGAUAAAGGCAUUGGGAAUGUGGCAUCUUUGGAUGUGUUAUAGCCCAUUGUUGGAUACGACGGUCAGGAUUGAGGAACUCAGCAUGCCUCUUGGGGCCAGGUUUUGACCAUGUUCAUGCUUAGGAUGCUGGCGUAAUGGCUUUAAUCGACCCGUC